rnacentral:misc_RNA from 1 species
GGCGAAGCCAUGGCGCCCCUUUCGGUGUCGGCCAUCCUCGCGCCGUCGCCGCCGCCAGCCCAGGCGGCCGCAAGGGCCUCGCCGCGCCGCGCGCCAGCGAGCGCCGCGCCUGUCGCCGCCGCCAUUUCGACGGCAUUGCUUGCUUUGACUCCUGCCGCGCACGCCGCGGCGUUCUCCAAGGAGGACGUCGCCGGCUCCGUGACCAAGGUGGUGGACACGGUGGACCAGGUCAUCGGC